UAUUCCCCUCCAUUAAUUGCAAGAGGCGUUAAUUGGGUGCGGGAGAGAAAACGACCAGCUCAUCCAACGCCGCCGCCGCCGCCGUCUCCCUCUCGCUCACCUCUCGCCGUACCAAAUCGACGCUGCCGCCCUCCGCUUCGAGCUCCGGACCGGCCCCCACCCAACUCCACCCACCGCCGUCCUACGAUUCGACCUCCGUGGACUCAUAUCCAGCCGCCGCAUCCUCGUCUCCCAUCCGCAGCGCCUGGUGCUGGUCGGCCUAGCCAUGGACCUCCACGGGCUGACCUGCUGACCCGCCGGCGGGGACGAGUAGGGCGCCAAGAAUGUGCCUCUCGCCGACGGCUCUUGGCGCGAGGGCCGCAAGAUGGCGACGGGAGCCACAGAGGAAGGGAGGGUGGUGGCCUGCAGCCGCCGCCGCCUGCGGUGUCCCCGGACCUUCUGCUCCCCACGCCAUCCACCUCUCCGUCCCGCUGCUGCCUCCCCAACCUGCACCUGCCAGCACUGGGUUACUGAGCAAAGCAGUGUGAUGGCAGCGAGUUCACCGCGACUGCUAGUGGAAAGUAGUUGAAACCGUGAAUUCUCAUGGCACUCAGUUACUGAGAAAAACAGUGUGAUGGCAGCGAGUUCACCGCGACUGCAAGUGGGAAGUAGGCAAAGCUGUGAAUCCUGAUGACAAAGAGAGGAGAUGCUUCGCUCGCCAACUUGUGAUGACCAUGUACAGUGGCGCCCUCUUGCUGGUGCCAACGACCACCGACGCCGCCAUGGCACAUGCCCAGCUGCUCGAGCCUCCCGCCACUCGGACGUAGAGGUUGAUGGCCUGCUCCUCCAUGAGCAACUCCUCUGCUGGCUCUUAGUCCCAGCCAUGGUCCAAAGUAAGCAUAUGUGUUCAUGACUUCAGGUGGCUGAGGGAGGAGCUGAAGGGCGUGUAGUGGGGUACCGGGAGGGGUGGGCGUGGUGGUGGUCGUCGUCAUCGGCAAUAUCCACAAUUGCCAUGGGAAGCUCUCUGGUGGGCUGCGGAUCGAGUACGAGCGGCUCGGCCUGGAUGACUACGCUGAAGGGGAGGAGGGGGUGAUCUAGACAUGCUCUACGAGGUCUUCCAGUCCCAUCUCUAUCUCAAGGGAGACGUCGAGGCUGAUAACGAUGACGACCUGCAAAAGAGUUUUGUUCAUUAAGAUGAAGGAAACUGCUGCUGCCAUCCGUCGUGAGUACAUGUCGUUCAGCAUCAGUGCAGGGGUCAAAAGGCUGCUUGUGUAUGAUUACAUGCCGUUCGGCGGUGGCCUGGAGACCCAUCUGUUCGGUUGUCAACCAAGAUCGGUGUAUACAUGUUAAACUGAGGACCGAACCGAAGUGUCGGUGCACCGAAGCCUCGGUUAACAAUUUCUCAAAUGACCGAUCAGUCAUUAAUUUUUGAAACCGAAUUUCUUAAUAACCCGAGAAACCGAACCGAUCGGUUCGGUCUAACCGAACGCCCAGGCCUAGUCUUGCUAUGAUAACCGAGGGUUUUCUAGACAAGCAUGGCCCUGACAGGAUUCUUGAUACACCAAUCAUGGAGGAUGGUUUGUGGCAUUGGUUUUGUUGCUUACCACCAUGGUCUGGAACAUUUAUUUGAGUUCUUGACAUUUAACUUCUCCAUACAGCUCCAGCUGCACCUUGGCUUCGACUACUUUCUCCUUCACCUCCGCCAUCGCUGUUGUGCGAUGGUGAUGAGUUCACUGCGCUGCAAGCCUGCAACCAUGGCGUUGGUGCCUUAGUUUUUGUCUCCGUGUGUUUGGAUGAGGAGUGGUGGCUUGUAACAAGUGCUGCAUCAGCAAUGGAGACAUGGUAGGAGGGCUCUUAAACAGCGGCGGCACCGAUGCAGACACACCAUAUAAGCUGCUUGGCUGCAGCUUAUCCACCGCUGGACCACCUACUUGUCGCCUAUGCAAGAAGGCGUUUUGUUUGGUGAAAAUCUGUGAGGAUGGAAGGCCUUGUCCAUGAGCAUGGACGUCAGUCGCCCGAUGUUCAUUGAGGCCACUAGUUCCGCUUUGUCGUUCUUGUCUUGCCCAGAGCAUGUAUAUAUAGUGCGCAAUGCUGGUUUCCGGCUUGGUCACACCGUUGUCUAGUUGCUGGAAACCUAAAAUGCAUGUGCUAGGUCAUUUUUAGCCAAGUCGACUCCCUGUUGUGAUCCAUGAACUUUAUUUUUACAGAAUUGUAAAUGGCAUGGAAAAUUAAUACUAGGUUUUUGUCUUGGCUGAAUUUGGGACGGAAGGAUGGACGACGUCUCAAAUUAAUUCUUGCUUGAUGCCUGAUGACCGAUGACGUUAA